rnacentral:piRNA from 1 species
UAAUGAGGGGAAAAGGAAAAAGCUGA